UGACGGUUGUGACCAAAAGGACAGGAGAUUUGUGGACUUGUGUUGAACUCGUCACAGCCUGAUCCCACAAAUACAAAUUUAAAAUAAACUUAUUGUAUGAGCUUACUCUUUAGGUUGUAGGUUGACCAAGACGCUUCGUAUGUUUGAUCCAUCGAAGCUGUCAAGAACCGGGGGGUUUGUUGAGAGGCUCGCCAUUGAUGACCUUAAUAUGACCGACUACAGCUGAAACAUAAAUGGAAAAGAUUAGGACUGUGACUAUCAUUUUUAACCCUUUCUAAAAUAGUAAUCAAUUUCUGGAGUAAUAAUAGGAUAUAAGUUAGUAUAUAUAUAUAUAUCACAGAGAUCUCCUCUUAGUCUAUAGUUCUUUUCGAAAUCUUCAAAACAAUGGAAGCCAAAUGUAACAACCCGGUUCACGUAAACCGGUAUUAAAAUUGGUUUGAUUAUUUAAUUGGAGUAAACCAAAUAAUACCAAAACCAAAGCGAUAUAUAAGCUGUAUGCAUCUUCUUCGUCAUGUUAACCUAGCCGUCUUCAUUUAGGGCUUGUGGGGAGUACGUUUGUGCCGUCACCACAAAACGACCUCUAGUGCGCUGAUAUGAGAGAAGCUUCAUCACACCGACAAUGGAGCAUCAUUAACGGAGCGGUGAGGCAUGCCGAAGCUGUCAAAUAUCCAACGCCUCUCCCUUAUGGUCACCUUGCAUCGGAUCCGAGAAGCUUUGAUGUGGAGAAGCAACGCACAUACACGGAGCCACUGCGUAACGACACGUCCGGUGCUGAUCACCACCGCCCAACACCAUAGAGCCACCGCCGGGAUGUCACUUUAUUUGCUUGUCACACCGGAGAUCCACCGUCACUGUCUAAGAUGUCACCAACUGGUAUUGUAGUGAUUGAAGCUAAGGCGAGCUGCCACAUAUCUUCACCAUGUUCACUUGCAACAUUGGACCCAUGGCUAAGGAGUGGUUUUGUGGGAGGAUCCUAGAUCGAUCCAGAGAACUUUAGCCUUCGAAACAUGGCUCUUUGGAUAGAUCUCGUUUCCAGGAAUCUGUAGCAGCAAACGGAAUCGAGAUCGGAAUUGUAUAGCAAAAGUUAUGGACAUUGCUUCUUGGCCAAGGAUAAGUUUAAGCUAUAGCGAUGCAGAUACAGUUCCGACCAGUCUCAGAGUAAAGGCGAAACGGUCGACCUAAACGAAAGCUUUCAAUCUGGAAAUUUGUAAGUAAGUAGUUUAUUCUUUUAUCUACCAUCUCCAACAAGCGGAUCGUAAUUUCGAGUUAGUUUCUGAGAAUUAUGCAUGUUUUCGUGAGAGGUGUUGGUGCAGUCUGCGUUCGUGACUAGCCUAGGUGUGAAGCCAUUUUGGUUAAUCAAAUGGUGUCCGAUCGGAGUAAACUCAGUGGCUACGGACAGAGGACAUCUAGGAAUACAUUCCGACCGGACGGAUUGAAAAGUUAGCGGUCCGUUAUCGUGAUAUUCACCUGUUUUAUCUAUGGUUCAGUUCUGGCAGAAUUAUUAUAUUCAUUUAUUUUCAGAGAUUCCGAAGUUGCUGGUUUAGAGCCGUCAAGGUCUAUAUAUGUUUUCUCAGGUUUCUUCAGAAUCCGUGGCAAAGGGCUUGUGGGGAGUACGUUUGUGCCGUCACCACAAAACGACCUCUAGUGCGCUGAUAUGAGAGAAGCUUCAUCACACCGACAAUGGAGCAUCAUUAACGGAGCGGUGAGGCAUGCCGAAGCUGUCAAAUAUCCAACGCCUCUCCCUUAUGGUCACCUUGCAUCGGAUCCGAGAAGCUUUGAUGUGGAGAAGCAACGCACAUACACGGAGCCACUGCGUAACGACACGUCCGGUGCUGAUCACCACCGCCCAACACCAUAGAGCCACCGCCGGGAUGUCACUUUAUUUGCUUGUCACACCGGAGAUCCACCGUCACUGUCUAAGAUGUCACCAACUGGUAUUGUAGUGAUUGAAGCUAAGGCGAGCUGCCACAUAUCUUCACCAUGUUCACUUGCAACAUUGGACCCAUGGCUAAGGAGUGGUUUUGUGGGAGGAUCCUAGAUCGAUCCAGAGAACUUUAGCCUUCGAAACAUGGCUCUUUGGAUAGAUCUCGUUUCCAGGAAUCUGUAGCAGCAAACGGAAUCGAGAUCGGAGUUGUAUAGCAAAAGUUAUGGACAUUGCUUCUUGGCCAAGGAUAAGUUUAAGCUAUAGCGAUGCAGAUACAGUUCCGACCAGUCUCAGAGUAAAGGCGAAACGGUCGACCUAAACGAAAGCUUUCAAUCUGGAAAUUUGUAAGUAAGUAGUUUAUUCUUUUAUCUACCAUCUCCAACAAGCGGAUCGUAAUUUCGAGUUAGUUUCUGAGAAUUAUGCAUGUUUUUGUGAGAGGUGUUGGUGCAGUCUGCGUUCGUGACUAGCCUAGGUGUGAAGCCAUUUUGGUUAAUCAAAUGGUGUCCGAUCGGAGUAAACUCAGUGGCUACGGACAGAGGACAUCUAGGACUACAUUCCGACCGGACGGAUUGAAAAGUUAGCGGUCCGUUAUCGUGAUAUUCACCUGUUUUAUCUAUGGUUCAGUUCUGGCAGAAUUAUUAUAUUCAUUUAUUUUCAGAGAUUCCGAAGUUGCUGGUUUAGAGCCGUCAAGGUCUAUAUAUGUUUUCUCAGGUUUCUUCAGAAUCCGUGGCAAAGAAAAUCGGGGUAUUACACCAAACCUCUGUGAGUCAAUGGCGAGGCUGUUAUCUUCAAGCUCGGAGAGGACCGACUUGUGAGUGACGCAAAUGGUGAAACUGUGGUCAGCCAAACGAAAAAUCUCUUUGUUCUUUAUCUUACACGGACCUGUUAGGAAAAACGAAUUUCUGUGUGACCGUUGCUGGAACAAAUCAGUCAGUGUAAUCCAAAUCUGCUAAUAUGCGAAGAAAUACUGUUCUCAUUAUUUGUAUACGGGGCUGUUAUAUUUCACCGAUACCAUGUGAAAUUAACAUGUAAAAAUAAUGCAUAAGUAACAAAACGGAUUCAAAAAUGAAUACCUAAGAUGUUCAGUUAAGAUUUUGACAACAGUUUGACAAUUAUGAUUUAGAUUGAAACGAAGAUGAUAAUGAGUUUUGUGAGAAAAAUUACCUUAGCAUCGAUGAGAAACAUAUUUACCCAUCAGCUCUCCGCCACGUUUAAAGUUUUGAGCUUCCAAAAUCUGAGCAGUGGCACCUCGACGGUGGAAAAACAGCGGCUUGCAAAUCAGGGAGAUGAUCGGAUGAGUUAGUGAUAAAACUGAAAAAUAAGUAUUUCUUUGGAAUUGAGAGGAUGAUGUUCAUGAGAUGAGGACGAACCUUUAUAUAGGUGAAUAAACACCUGGGAGAGAAUUAGAAGCAAUGAAUGAUUAAUUGUGCUUGUUGUCAGUCAAAGGAAUAAAGAUGGUUCUUGAUGACGAUGAAUGGAUGAAUUCAUAACGUUGUGAUGGAAAAGAAUGUAAGGCGAACAGACGUGAAUGAAGAUCGAUAUAGUCGUUCCUCAGGCAGUUUUUUCUCACACAACUGCAAGAAACUCCAUUAAUGACGAUAGUUUUUAAUGGUGAUGGAUCCGUCUCGAGAAGAACCAUAGAUGACUUUUACCAAAAAAAAAAAAGAACCAUAACGAAGAUAGUCGAUGAAGACGAAUAGACGAUUAAACUUUAGGUAUGGUUGCAGAGAAAAAGCUGUUGAAAUUUCUAUAUGGGCUUGGCCUAUUGACUGAAACAAAGCAAAAUAAUAAACGAAGUCUACAUAAUAAAGCCGAUGAUAACAAAACCCAACAAACUGAAGAUUAAAUGAAACGCUGAGUUUUAUUAUUUUGGGACACGUGUCGAAAGUAAAGGAGUCGAUUUUCUGACCUGUCUGCUGAGGUGGCAGCUCCACAGGAAAGAAAACCCAAUUAUAUAUAAAUAGAUAGAUACAUUUGCACGGCCGCGCAUAUCAAAAUCUAGUAUCAUAAUUAUUUUUGAAGCCAUACCAAGUUGUGUUUCAUGUCACUAUUUUCUUUUUAAAAUCAAUCAAUAACGUUUAAUCAUUGUUAAUAUGUUAUGUGGUAAUGAUAUAUGAAGAUUUAGUUAUGUUUAGGAAUUUUAAUUUGGAUACCCACAAAAAUGUAAAGAAAAAGUUUGUUUUUGAAAAGCUCAUCAAAUUUGGAUUCGUGAGAGACUGUAAAUAAUGUGUUUAUUUAAAGCUUAGUAUAUUUACACAUACACUUAAAAGGAUUUAUAGAGUCCACAUGAGUCUGUAAUCUAGUCGACAAAAAAAAACACUUAAGGGGUGGCAAAAAAACUCAAACUGAACCGAACUGACCUGACCCGACCAAGGUUAAACCGAUCCAAUCCAAACCGUGCUCUUUAUAUAAUCCAAUUAGUUCAUGUUUUACUCAACCCGAAUGGUUUGGUUUGGUUUGGUUUAAAUCGAAUUAAACCGAACCGAACCCAACUAAACCAAUAACCCAAUAUAUUCGUAAAUGUUAGUUAAAGUUUUGUUUUUACUUUUUCUUAAGUUCCAUAUAUUUUAAAAAAAAUAAUACUAUUAUAUAUUUUCUAAACCUAAUAUCUAAAGAUUAUGCCCAAAACAAAACCUAAAAACUAUAAGCAUCUAAAUCGUAACCAUUUCAUCCCGUUCUUUUCCAAUAUUCAUUGUCUAAAGGUAAAAUUAUGUACAAAGUUCUUGUUUGGUAUUUUUAGUUUUUGGAUACGUUGUUUUUUUUUUAACUUUUAGUAAUGGAUUUUUUUAUCUAAUAAAGAUUAAAUUCUCACUCUAUUUUUUAUAGUUCGCAAAUCUAAACUACACAGGACCAAACUAAACUAUAAUAAAAUAAACCGAACUAAAUCAAAAUCAAACCGAACUAAACAAAACCAAACCAAACAAGACCAGACCCAACUAAACAAACCCCAAUUAAACCCAAACCAAAGCUACUUUGGUUUUAAUUGGAUUUAGUUUUAUAAAACCCAAGUUAAUCAAACCAAACCAAACCAAACCAAACCAAACCAGAAACUAAACCGAUAUACCCACCCCUACAUACACCAUGUCUUUCAGAA